UUCGGGGUCGACCAGGAUGUCGGCGAUGUUCUGGACGUCGCGGACCUCGUCUGGUCCCUUUCGGACCUCCAGGA
rnacentral:tRNA from 1 species